GAGAAGGCUGUAUUGCUUUUGAUAAUCUCCAUAAACAUGUUUCUGUGCAAGUUGUUUAGCCCUAAAGACCUUCAUUCUUGACAUCCCCACCUCGUAUAUCUUUUGUAACUCUACACACAAAGCUUUGACUGGGAUAGUUGGGUUUCCUUCCACUUCUUGAAGAAUGAUGGUUGUAAGAAACUUAGGCCUCAUUUGAUAGUUGCCGAUUGAGAAAGUGCUGACUGAGAAAGGUCUGUCUGGGUAAGAAAUCCUGAUUGGGUAAGAAAUCCUGUUGUUUGAUUGUACAUCUGACUGAAUGUGCUGAGUGAUGAAAAAUGACCAUUUUACCCUGCUGUUAUAUAUAUAUAUUGAUGGAUUAAAUUGCUGAAUAAUUAUAAAAACAUACAUAUUGUCAUACAAAAUGUAAAUUACACACAAAUAAAAAAUGUCAUACAAAAUGUAAAUUAAACAUAAAUCAUUUAAUAUCCAAAUAAAAACAUAAUGAAAUUUAAAAUAACAUAAUAAUUUAAUGUAAAGUAGGUGAAAGUAGUCGAUUUGCAAUCUGAUCACGCAAAACACGCAUAUAUUCAACGGCUUCUGGACCCCAUUCUAUGCCUUGUAUGUUUUCUCUAUCAAUUCCCCCACCUUGGACGUCAGGAGUAACCAUAGUGUCCUCCUCAAAAUUUCUAAACAAGUCAUCUUCUAUAUUGUAUUUCCUUAUAAAAUUAUGGACCGCGACACAAGCAAUGACUAUGUCUCUUUGCACUGUAAAAGGAUAAGGAGCCAUUUGUUUUAAGAUUGGGAAUCUCGCCUUCAAUACACCAUAAGCACGCUCAAUAACAUUUCUAAGUUGUGCAUGAGCAUGAUUGAACCUUUCUUCUCUAGUUAAAGGUCUGCCUCUUCGAAAAUCGGCUAACCAAUACCUAGUAUUGCGGUAUGGAGCCAUAAACCCACGAGUGUUUGUAUAUGCGGCAUCACAAAGGUAAUAUUUAUCUGCAAACGAAUGUGACAUAUUAUAUAAUGACACAUAUUAUAUAAAGAAGAUAGAUAAUAAAAAUUAUAUAAAGAUUACAAACCUGGUGGAGGAAAUGGAAAUCCAGAAGUCGAAUUGAAUGCAACUUCUUUCAAAACUCUUGAAUCAUGUGCUAUACCCUCCCAUCCAGCCCAAACAAAGGUGAAUAUCAUAUCAAAAUCACAAAUUCCUAUUACAUUUUGAAAACAUUCUCCUUUUCCUCUUCCUCAAUAACGAGUUUGUUGAUCAACAGGUACAACCGCACGUACAAGAGUUCCAUCUAAUGCACCAAUUGCUCCGGAAAAAAUAUUUUUUAACCGUCUAUGUCGUUCUGAGUUAUGUCUUGUUGGGUUAGGAGUUGUUGGUACUAUAAUUUCUUUUGCAAAACACAUCAUUGCUGUUAGGACCUCGUGAAAACAUUGAUGAAUCGUUUGUGUGGAGUGAUGAAAUCUUCCCUUAACCGCGCGAAAACGUUCAUUAUGUCCUAUAACAUGUAAGAAGAUAGCCAUCUUCUCUUCAAUGCUUAUUGUCCUACUAGCUUGCAACCAAUUUUUUUGGGUAAAAUGGUUGCAUAGUAAUGCAAAUGCCUCUUGUGUAAGACGCAUCAUAUCGAAACAUUGUGUAGGGUCUCCGUAUAUCAAAUCUUAUGUAUACGCAUACCCGCUUGAAUCGUUAUCUCUAAUUCUAAGAAUUCUGAUUAGUCUGCGCCGGUUUGACCUCAACCAAUAAAACACAAGUAAAAGAAAAGCUACAACUUCACCAUCAGAAACCAUACUUGAUCUAUUACAAACAAUUAGGUAAUAUGUUAAAGUAAAAAAAAAAUCAUGCACCAAAAAAAUUAGUAAACAUCAUUAAAAGUAACAAAAGUCGUAUAACAAACGUUGUAUAACAAAAUACUAGUAAACAUCAUCCAAAAAAGUCAUCAAACUAUAUAACAGUAAACCAAAAAGUCAUCAAACAUAGGAUCCAAAAAACUAGUAAACAUCAUCCAAAAAAAGUCAUCAAACAUAGGAUCCAAAAAACUAGUAAACAUCAUAAAAAAAACUAGUAUCCAAACUUUUCUACCCGCACCUAUCAAAGGUAACUAUACUUCCUACCCGCACCCAUCACCCACGACUCACAACUACUAUGCGAAAGUCGUAACCAAACUUUUCGAACAUCAGCACUUUCACCAAAUAGCAAAAGAGCGGUCUUGUGUCUUUCAUCUUCUUCUCCCCAUUCCAUUUUGUUCAAUUUCUCCAUACACGCAUCAACAUCCUUAUCCAUUUCACUUUUUUCAAUUCUUUCAUUUUUUUUCCACUAAUAACCUUACAAUCUUGACAAUCUCCUCUUCAACUUCUAAUGCCCUUGCAUCUCUUUUUUUUCCACCAACUCUUUUGUUUCCACCAACUUCCUUAUUUUUGAACGCCCCGAAGAUUCUUCACUUGCACCUACGUGUUGUGUUGAGGUUUCCAUUAGAACAUCAUCAUCAAAAUCAUGGGGACUAAACUCUUCUACAGGACAAGGGAGUGUAGAAGAUGGCCCCCAACUUUGAGAUCCGGUUGAUGUCAACCCUUCAAAUAGUUGGGUGCAAAGAUCAGGGAACAAUAGGGGUUUAGUUUUCAAUGACAACACGAACUUGUUCAACUGUUUACAAUUUUUAUAAAUAUUAGUAUAUGUUAUAAAAAUAAUCAUAAUAGUAUUGAUUAAAAAAAUAAAUUUAAUCAAAUAGUAUAUGUUAUAAAAAUAAUCAUAAUAGUAUUGAUUAAAAAAAUAUUACCUUCCCCUCUUCUUUCCAUUGUUCAUCGGUCAAAUUAAAUUUAUUUUUUAUAGGAUCAUAUAUAUUGCCGGUUUUGUUUUUGAGUUUCACCCAAGCAACAUACUUUGAUUUGUAGUAGUCAAAGUGGUUUCUCAUUUGCUUCUGAUCAACCUCUUUACCGUGUUCGUUUAUCAAUUUUUCGCGUAUUGUCUUCCAUGAACUUGCCUUAAGCCCAGAACCCUCACGACCAUUAGUGGUUAGUUCAUGGAUACAUGCAUCAAGAAAAGUUUUGUCCUCACUCUCGUUCCAAACCAACAUCCUAAAACAUUAAUAUUUAAAGUAAUUUAUCAUAGUUUUUAUCAAGUUAAAGAACAAUUUUAAACAUAAAGCAAUUUUCAACCAAGGAAGUUAACAUCAUCCUAAAUUAUGAUUUGAUAACUUAUACACAAACAAUUUCAGAUGUCACAAAACAUCAAUAUUCAAGCUAACAAUUUCACAAAAGAUAACAAGCUAACAAUUAAGGUCAACAAUAUCAAAGCUAUAAAAUUAGAAAGAAAAAAAAAACAGCCCAAUUUUUGAUUUUAUAGCUUAUACUUUUGAUACUAAUACAAGCUCAAUAAUUGGAAGACAUGUGAUGUUGCAUGCAUUCCCCCUCUCGCCCACUCUUCAAGGAACAAUUGGAUUAUUAAAAAAGUUAGGUUACCAUUAAUCUUAUAAUAAUUAUUUAUUAUUAAUUUUACUUUUGUACUUUACACAUAAAAACACAACNAAAACCAAAAAAAUAAAAAAAAAAAAAAAAAAAAAAAAACAGCCCAAUUUUUGAUUUACAAACCUACUUGUAUUUUCCAAUUCACAUUCAAUUUCAAUUCACAAGCUAUAAAAUCAAAAUUCAAAAAAAAAACCUUCCAAUUCACUUUCAAUUUCAAUUCAUAAGCUAUAAAAUAUGAACCGGAGAAAAAAACUUCCAAUGUGAAUUGGAGAAAAAAACUUCAAAUUCAGAAAAAAAAACAAAAAAACAAAAACAAAAAACAACUACCAAUUCACAUUCUAUUUUAGAAUUCAUAACAUUAGAAAAAAAAACCUUCAAUUUUCAGUUCUUAUACACAAAGAACUACAAAACAAAACAUAAACAAACUUCCAAUUCACAUAUAAUUUCGAAAUUCAUAUAUUAGAACAAACAAUUUCAGAUUUCAGUUCUUGUACACAAAGAACUACAAAAAAGAACAAAAAAAGCUUAUCAUAUGAACAUACAGGUUGAGAAUUCAUAAUAUUCUAACAUAUACUAAUUUGAUUUCAUAAAGAACUACAAAUUUCAUACCAUCAAAGCAUAAAUGGUAUCUGAUUUUGAAAAUUAUUAACAGAAAAAUUAUCUAACCUGUGUGAUGGAUCGAGAAGGCGUCACUGAUGGCGGUGGCGGAGGUCCGACGAGAUGGCACAGGUCCGACUGGUCGGACUGUUUGGCGUUCAAUGUUGUGGAGUUCUUCCUAGCGGCUGCUGUGCUUUUAGGUCACUAGAAGGGAAGCGAAUGGGGAAAGAAAUAAUAACGACGCAGGGGCAAGAUAAGGGCAAGAUUGUCUAAUUUCCAGUCAGCAACUGUUUAAAAACUGAUCCAGAAAGCGAUUUGGGUCAGCAGAUCUUACCGAGAAAGCUCAAAUCAAACACCAAAGGUCUGACCGAGUCAGCCCAAUUUGCUGACUCGACCCAGUCAGACAUUUAUCAAACACUCCCUUAGAAGUGCACUCUUUAAUAGACCUUGACUGCACACAUCUAUGCUCAUGAACCAAAGUUUUCACCAUCCAAUCGCUUUCUUCAUCAGAUCUAGAAAUUAAUACCACCCAAGGGCAUGUUGCUUUUUGUGAGCUGACUGUUUUAUCCUUGCAUUUGAUUCUACUUUUUGUCCAUGGCCCACCUGUCAUUUUCGGGACCACACCCCUGCAUUUUGCCCUAAUUCUUUUUUUUUUAUCAUUUUUUGAAAAGUAAAUGUUUCUCCUAGUUCGAAUUGAAUGCAUUUUAAUGUAGUCCUUCACUUCUGAUGAGGACUUAAAUAUUUGACCCAGAUGGAAUGCAGUUUCAUGUACUACUCCUGAUGAACAUGUGGUUGGUUUGUUUAACCUUCUCAUUAAUUUCUUCCUCUCAUCUUCUUCUACACCAGUUGAUUCAAAUAAUUGUGUAUCUAUCACCUCCAAAUCCUCAUCAACUGUGACAUCAGGUGCAUUGAAUGAUUGGUGGUUAUCUAGAUUUGGAAAAGAAUAAACACCACUGUGGAAGUCUUUCAUAUUCACUUCGACAUCCUCCACCAUAUUAAGUUCAUCCACUAAAAAGUCACUAUCGUCGCUUAUACUUCCAUCGGUACUAGUCUCAUCACUAAUAACAUCUCCAAUUUCUUCAUUUUCCCCCAUCUGUUGGUAAUCAUUAUGAUCCAUAUAAAAGAAAGGAUCAAAGUCUUCUGAAGGGACAACAUCUUGGGCUUUGUUAAGCUCCUCACUUGCAGGAUGAACUCGAACAUCUUUCACUACAUCUCUAUCAAAAUGUCCAAAAGGUACAACAGACCUAGAAAAGUCAUAGUUCUCAUUCAAGUCCAUUUUUCUACUACAUGAUCCUACCUUUGUACUUGUAAACUUUUUUCGAUUGAGUUCCGGAGAAAUAGGCUCAUUGAUUUCUUCCGAUACGACCUUAUUUGGAGAUAUAAAGUAUGCAUGGAGUCUAGUAGUUCCAUGUUCAGUAUACACCAUAAUCUCUUUAUGAUUAGCAACAUGCUUACUUAACAAAAGUACGUCUGAGUUGUUACCUAAAGGAAGUAACCCAUAAUCGAUUUCAAUCUCAGGAAUCAAGAAGUGGUAGUAGAUAGGCUCACCGUUGAUAUAACCUAUCUCCUUCAUCAUAUCGUCUAACUCAUGUACGGAAAACACGUCCAUGUCUACGUAGUCAACAUAGUCAAUACUCCCACCAACGUAACGUCUUCCUGGGUAUUUUGUGAACAUACCCCCAUGGUGAAUCUUGAAUGUGCAAAAACUACUUAACUCAACUGAAAAACAAAUAAAUAAUGAUAUGAGGAAAGAAUGAAGUCUCAAAAUUGAAUGUGCAUAAAUUACUUAACAAAAUUGAAAGUUGUUAACUGAUCACUCACCAUAAGCUUUGAUCAGGUCAGGAUUUUCUGAGAAUUUUGAACGGACAUUCCACAAAGUUAGAACGAUCGCAAAAGAUGAAAAUGAAAACCCUAGUUUCCGUUUGAUGUUUUGAAGUGAUGAAGAUGAAAAACCAGAGGAGAAAAGAAAGGGAUGAUUUCUUGGGGUAAUGUAAAUGGCAGCUAGAUGUAAGGAUCAUUUAUGAAUAUGAUCAUUUCGUGUAACAAAGCAAAAGACCAAAAUACCCUCGUGUGAGGGUCACGUGAUUUAGAUAAACGGAAACAAUUAAACGGAGUAUGUCAUAAGGACUAUUCGUGCAACAAUUUGGAACCAUAGGGACCAUACUCGUCCAAAAUUCCUCAUAAGGACUAUCUUUGGUCUCUUGUGCCAACCACAGGGACCAUCUGUGUAAUUUUGUCUUUUUUUAAAGAUAGUUCAUAAUUUUUCUAUUAUAUACAUUGUAAAUGAAAUUGAGAACUUAAGUAGGUCCUAGGACCUACCUAAGCACAUGGUGGAUACGCCCCUGUUACCCACACUAACCUCAUACACUUACAACACAAAUGAACUUGAACGGUCUAAGACCAAACCAAGAUAUAAUAUGAAAUGUGUAAGUAUAGUUUAAUAGAUGAAAGUGAGGUGUUGUUUGGGCUUGAAAAGUAGGGGUGAGCAUGGUGCGAUUUUUUGAGAAAACCGAACCGCAAACCGCAAGAUGCGGUUUCUAUAGGGUAAAACCGAUAGGUGUGGUUUUUGUUUCGGCGUGGUUUUACAUGCAUUUUCGGUGUCAUUCGAUGCGGUUUCGGUUUUUAACUGAAAAUAUGUGUUGGUGUGAUUUUUCAUACAUGUGUUGAUCUACCAAAGAAGUAAUAACCCCUAAAGAAGCUAGAGCAAGGCCUAAUUGAAAAUGAAGCCAAUUAUUAAUUGUGUCAUAAAGACCCUCAUGCCCACGUCUCAAUCGCCCUCUUGGAGGGAUAUGUGCAUCUAAAAGAUCUUUCAUACUGUGCCCAAUCCCAAAAUUAGUUCUAUACAUAUGCCCAACAAUAAGAAAAAGAAAUGCAAUAGCUAAAUAAUGAUGAGUCAUAUCAGCAUGUCCAAACCCGACUUUUCAGUUAACUUUCCUUUAUUUCCGGUACAGAUUCUCAUUUAAAUGUAUUUAACAUGCUUGUGAAAUAGUUAUAUGUUAUUCUUAUCAAAAUAUAGACUUCUUUAUGAUAUUACGAUUUUGAGAUUUGAAUUAUAUGUUUGAUGCAACAAGGGAUUUGGUUUUAUAAUCUCAAAUUCCAUUACUUAAUCAUUAUUGUUUAUACAGAUAGAGGCGGCUUUUGAUUCGAAUUGCAUUUUGCUUGUGAUAAGCAAAAGGAAAAUUGUUAAUGGUACGCACUUUGAUACAAAUGUCAAAUUUUAUAAAAAUAUAGCAAAACAUAAGGCAUGCACAGUGGCAAAAAGAACUGAAGAGGUCGAAGUUGAACAAAAUAUACUUUUAUUAAUAAGUAUUAUAAUAUAUUAAAUAUUGUCAGGUUUUUAUGGUGCUGUUUGGCAUUGUCCAAACCGCACCACACCGAAAAAUUACCAAUUAAGGUUGGAUUGGAAUGCAUAAUUAUCAAUUUAUCCUUAAUAAGUCAUAAAUCAACAAAAAUGGCCCAACAAUUUUCUUAAUCUUAAUUGUUGCCUUUGGAUUAGAAAUCAUCAACGAUCAAGAUUGGUUCUCACAAUUCUCUAAUCUCUACUUUUAUGUUGUUUUCAUUUGAACUCAACCCAAAAAUCUCACCAGUAAUCACCACACGAACAAAUCCCGUUCUUGAAAUGAUGAAACCUAUUUGUAUCCCGAAGAAUAAUUUCCCGCUCAACAAUCUUGGAAAUAAGCUUAGCAGCAAUAUGACAAUCCUCACAAACACGUAGAUUUUUAGUAAUCCGUAUAGGCGUAAAAGCUUUAGUAUUUAUAAUCACAAACACAAUAGCAAGCUUCUCACUAUGAACAGCAAGAUGAUUUCCUUUAUCUUCAUCUUCUAUAUCAUGAAGUGCAGAAUCCACUUCAGGAACAUACCCAAAAUCCCUCAUCUUCCCCACAAGUACUUCCAACUCUUGAUAAAUCUGUUUAGAUUGUGGAUGGGAUUGAUCUCCAGCAAGAAACGAAUGAACUUGAUUAUUAAGCUCAACAUUACUAACACCGGGCUCUUUUUUCACUCCUUUUGAUUUCAUUAUUGAACGAAUAUUUGUCACAUCUUUAAAUCUACCUGCUUUUGCGUAUAUAUUUGAUAAUAAAACAUAAUACCCUGCUUGUUCAGGGACCAAUUCAAAGAGAUGAUCUGCUGCUACAAGACCAAUUUCCAUGUUGGAAUGAACUUUACAAGCACUUAACAAAGCACCCCAGAUUCUAUCGUUUGGUUUUGUUUUCAUUUUCUUUAUAAAAUCAUAAGCUUCAUUGAUUCUUCCUGAUCUUCCUAGCAAAUCAACCAUGCACGCCAAGUGUUCGAGUCUUGGAAUGAUGUUAUACUCUUCGGUCAUCAAUUUGAAGAAAUGUUUUCCUUGGUUUAGUAAUCCGGCAUGGCUGCAGGCUGAUAGAACUGGAACGAAGGAAAUGGAAUCAGGGGCGAUUCCGGAAUUUUGCAUAUUUGAAAAGACUGUGAUAGCAGUUUCACCAUCUCCAGUCAUGCCAUAAGCAGAGACCAUGGAAGUCCAGGAGACGACAUCUCUUGUUGGCAUUUCAUCGAACACCUUGCGUGCUUCGUUUAAAGACCCACAUUUAGCAUACAUGUCAAUCAAGGCGUUCUCUACUGUUAGAUUAGGAAGAAGCCUUUUUGUUUUUACAUAUGAAUGAAUCUUUCUUCCUAGUAAUAAAGCUGAAAGAUCUCCACAAGCGGGUAGGAUGCUAGCAACUGUGAUUGAAUCCGGGUCGAUUCCGUAAUUCUCCAUUUGUUGAUAAAGAUUAACUGCAUCUUUAGGCAUCGAGUUGUUGACGUACACAGCUAUCAUGACAUUCCAAGAAAUUAAACUCUCUCGAGCGUGAUUCAUGAACAUUUCUUUCAUAAACAUCACGUUGGUAGAUGAAGUAGAAGUUGUUAAAGCAGGGGAAAGGCUGGCCAUGGUGCCUGCGUUGGGUUUUGAGGUAGAACAUUGCAUCAUUGUCUUACAAAUCUCCAAUGCAUCUUCAAACAUCCGGUUUUGGGCGUAGGCAGCAACCAUAGCAUUCCAGGAGACGAUAUCUCUACUAGGCAUUUCAUCAAACACCUGGCGUCCUUCCAGUAACCGGUUACAUUUUCCAUACAUUGUAAUCAAUCCAUUCCCUACAUAAAGAUUUGAAUGCAGACCCUUCUUGAGAACAGCAACAUGGGUUUGUAAUCCGACCCACAAAUUCUCAGACACGGAACAUGCUUUUAGAACUUGAGGAACUGUAAAAUGAUCAGGGUUAAUGUUGAACUUGAACAUGUUUCUGUACAUACGAAGUGCUUUUUCGUAGAAUUCAUUGUUUACGUAGCUUCUAAUCAUCACAUUGAAGAAGACUACAUCUUUUUGAGGAAAUUCAUCAAACAGUUGGCGGGUAACUGCGAUUUGGCGACAUUCAGAAUAAGCUUUCAUUAAUUUCAGAGCAAUAUGCGAUGCUGAGACGAGGUUUCCAUCAAUAAUUAACCUACAAUGUAUCUUUUUCAAUUGUUUGAUAUCUGGGCACUUGUCCAAGAUUUUGAUACACAAGUCUUCUGUGAUUAACAUGAUUGUUAAGGCGAGAUUUGAAUGAAUUUGAACUUAUAUUCCUUUCGCCAUGUUGUACCUGAGGGGCAAUCAAAUAGAAUGGACGAAGAUAACGAAGGUUUACUUGGUGGUGUUCACUUAAAAACAAGAAAUAUGAAGUUCUAAACGCUAUUUCUUGUUAAACAGAAAAUAUUUUGUCCAAUCUAAAAAUCCAAUUUUUGAGUAAGUUCAAGCUUAAGCUCAAAAAUAGUAAGCAAAACAUGUUUAAAAAAUAAAAGUUCGUUUGAAACUCUUUGGAUAGCUCGAGUAUAACAAUCAUCAUAAUUAUAGUCAAUAAAUCAGGCUCAAACAACCAAACUUGAUGUCCAGCCCUUGAUCAUCCAAUUGCCAACUGAAAUCAACUUAGUUUCCGGUUUUAGAAUCGCCCUAACAUUACAUAAGCACCAACUAGUUCCAAAAGUAGUUUUUAAUUCAAUGUCUCCCAUACCCGUGACUUCAAGGGUUUCCAUGUUACCCAACCUUACCAACUUAAGAUAAGUUCUUUACUUCAAUUACUAUAACAGAUCGAUGAGUCAUGUUCUAAUGACCUCUCGUCAUAUGAUGCAAUGCUUAGACUCGAGUCUUUUAAAGUCAAAUUCUAUAAUGAAAUAUACAUUCCUUCAAGUUUCUAAUGUGAUAUAAUCACAUUCUAGCAUGUAUCACUUCUAGCUACAAGCUUCUUACUUUAACAACAAUCACAAUACUUCUAUUGAUCGCUUUGAUUAUCUUUCAGUUCAAUCUUCUGGCUUAAGUCAGAUGCUACAUCGAUCUUGGUUCUCUGAACCACGUACAAUACUUAUCCUAGCUGUAAUCGAUUUGAUAUGACCACUAGGGUCGGAAUAACAAUCAUCUUCUUAGUCAUUACCGAAAUUAUGGUAAUGACACAUGAACAAAACAGAAUCAAUUACUAGCGUCUUGGUAACUCGUGACUUUCCCUGAUCCAAGUGCGAGUCGUGUGCUUCCAGUAGUAUAUGCCUCUACUACCUUUCACACCUACUCAUACUUGUCCCAAGUAUUGUCUUUCAGUUCUCCAAGUCACCAUAAAAGAAUUUCACAUAGUCAUUUAACACAUCGAAUAACAAAACUAAGGUUUAUAUUAUUUCUUGAAACGAUUACAUAGAUAUUCAAGUUCACCUUAUACCAUGCCUUUUAUAUUAGGCUACACCACAUGAUACUAUCUAUAUGGCUACUUUAUAUCUCGAUCUUCAGAUAUAUAUAGAUCCCUACUCCUAAUCCCUUGUAUCGUCACCUGCUUCAUCCAGGUUAGACUUCGAGAAUCUUCCUUUCUUAUCGAAUCUUGAGGAUCCCUCAAGCUUCUUCUUUUCUCAUGCCUUGUCUUAUUCCAGACCCUUUUUCCUAAAUUAGGUUUCCAUAUUCUUGGUUGCUCUAACGGUUGUCUUCAAAGUAGUUGCCAUUUUUACCAUUGCGCCAAAUUAUGCUGGCAAUCCGUUAGCAAAACUAUCUAUCUUGGAGAGUUCAGUAGCACCAAGUAGGGGAAUAACUUCAUCUGCUCGGUGAAUACGGUGACAUACUCAUCAACACUCAUCUUCCUUUUCUUCAAGUUCGAAACUCGUUGUUUAGGUCUAUCAGAUCUAUCUCUGAGCAGUAUUGCAUUUUCAACUGCUCCAUGAAUGCUUCCCACCUCAGGGCUUCUCCCCCAUGGCUUUGUAUCUGCCAAUAACUUCCACCAACUUAAAACUCUGGUCUUUAGUUGUCUGACUGUAAAGACGGUUUUCUGCUUGUUGCUGCAAUUGCAACUUUCAAAUGUCAUCUCUAUCUCGGAGAUCCAAUCCAUGAUCUCUACUGGCUUCGGGCUUCCAGAAAGACUUGGUGGUUUGGCACCUAAGAAGUUCUUAUACAUACGUUCAUCCUUAUCAAUCGCUUUUUUCGGGUCGUUCCUCCUUGCCACUCGGGGUUCAGCUUGACUCACUGUACGACUGUAAUUUCCCUCCUCCGACAAUUCUUCAUUCAGUUCGGGUUGCACGAUAGGCACAAUAGGUUCAUCCCUAUUAUCAAGAAACAUUUUUCUCAUCUCCUCCCUUUGUUCGGCCAUCAUAGCCCAAAUCAUUGCUUAGACUCUUGCCAUCGUGAUUGGCUCGGGUGCAGCUACUACCUCUGGUGCACAUUUAAUCACUCGUGGUUCAGGCUGUUAGUUUUCAUUAGCAUUUUCUAAUAUGUUGCGAGUUCUCACCAUUUCGAUCUAUACACUCUAGAGAUGUUCAGUGUACAGUGACGAGAAUUAAGAUAUGGAAAGCUUUAUUUACGACAGCCAUAUAAAUCUUCUUAUCACUCGUAAAAGUUAUAUACUAGUUCUAAUACCGUAAUUAAAUGUUUGGAAAUUUUGAGCAAAUGACGGUUCAUCAACAAUAGAGCGAAUCUCAUUUAGGAAUUCGUUGAUAGGUCGAUUUCCUUUAGGAUUUUUAGCAAGUUUGGAUUUUAAAGAGAUGAUUCUUGAGCAGGAGGUGCUGGCAUAGCUUGUGUUGAGAUGCUUUCAUGCUUCUUUUGUGGUAAAUACAGAGGUAAUGAUAGGUUGAAUGAAUUGCAUCUGAGCAUGAACCAAGAAUUGCAUCGAAUACUACAUGAUCUUGGCGAUAGCAAGUCGUGUAUUCAUGAUUAGGUUUGGAUUUGUCUUUGUCGAUAAUGAAUUUUGUGGUAGGAUCAGUCACCCAUGUGAUGUAAUCUUCCAGACCUAGUCCAAUAAAUGUGGACUGCACUUGUCGCCUCCAUACAUGGAAGUUGUUGGUGAGUAAUUUGGUAGGAAAGUGACUUGAGGCGGUGAUUUGUAUUUGGGAUGAUUGUGUCAUGGUGAUGUUGAUGAAAAGGAUUAGAGGAGAAAGGCAAGAUGAUCGAUUGACUCUUUAGAGUGUGUGUGCUCUGAUACGAUAUGAGAUUUGAGAAUCAAUGGGCUCGAAUGAAUAAUUUCAUUUACAAAGAUCGAUACAUAUAUAGAUGGUAACGAGAGUUAAAGAGCUAUACAUGGAAUUUACUAAGAAUAGAUUGCAAUUACAUACAAAUAGAAGAGAUUAUUGUAGAUUAGUCAUGAAGAUGUGUACGAUGUUAUAGUUAGAUUGCUUAUUUGCAAUCCAUGUUAGCUAAGUAUGUCAUGUUGAAUACAAAUUGUAUUAAAACAUUAAAGUUCCAACCAUUAUAUGUUGAAGAAGAAGCAAAUACGCCUUAGUCACACCCAUUCUAAAUGAUAUGGAUGUUAUGGUUGUCGUUUCUAUGCAACCAAAUCGUGAUUCCAAGUUGCAGUUGUCUUACCAAUAUAUCAUGUUAGGAAAAGAUGACAUAGCAUGAAAUAUUGUAUGUUACAACAAAAAGAUAUAUCUUAUAGAUGUCUUGCACAUGGGUUAUUCCUUUUUAAGCACUUAUAUAAAAAUAAUAUCACGUAUGUAUGAUAUCUAUUUUGAGAGAUUUUUAGCAAGCAACUCUUUGUCUAUUAUUGUUAUUGGAUAGAAAAAGUAUCAUCUUCGUUGGGAAGAUUUUACUAGGAUUAGAUUCAUAAUAGUUUGUCAAAGAUUUUACUAUUAUGUAUUUAUAAACCCAUGAAGUUUUCUAUUAAAUAAAUAAAUAAAUAACCAUUCACCAUUUAUAUCUUUUUGGAAUAGAGUUUGUUAAAUUCUAAUAUAAAUAAAAAGAGUAUUUAUUUAGAUUCACACAUUACAAAAUUACAAACUCCAAGCAUAAAUCCGAAACUUAUUUUUAAACUUCUUCAUUUAUAUUACAAGUUUUAUUCUUUUUUCCCAACCCACUUGGGGUUUCGAAACCCUAAAAAAGUUCUAUCCAUGGAAGUUCAUAUUUAUUUCUUAUCUUAAUGAAUUUAAGGUCUAAAUCAAUAAAUGGCAAUGUAGAAUUAACCGCAUAUAUUAAGUUAUUUUUGGAAGCUUUCCAACACAACACAGAAAGGAAAUGAUGAGAAUUUAUGGUACCAAAUAACAAAAUAAUCCCGGUUCCUAUAAAAAUUUAUUAAAGCUCUACUCAUGAUUUCAUAAUCUCCUCUAAUAUGAGGGUUACGUUAUUGUAAUAAUAACUAUGAUAAUGUAAAAGCCAUAACAUAAAUCGUCUUAAUUUAAGAAAUAAUAUAAAUCCCAAGAUAUUGUUUUUAAAAUAAAAAGGAAAAAAGUGGGAGUCCAUUAGAAGGAGCCAAGCUGAUUAUUUGAGCCAAGAGAGCACCGAUUUGUUAUCCUUCCACUGUUCGAAGCGAGAGGUUAUCGCAGCUCUGUGAAGCCAGCCUAACGCAUUGCCCUCUGCUCUAGGAACCAAGAAGCCCAAGCCUUCGCUCAAGCCACUUGAUCCAACUCCGAACUUGGAACGGGCAAACCAGAUUUUGCAACAGCUUUGACCCAACCAAACAAGGCUCGAUCUCAGUCCAUCCCACUUUAGAGCCCUCACUUGAGUCACAAGCUCGC
rnacentral:lncRNA from 1 species